CGUGUAGGCGGUCAAGUAAGCGGAAUGUGAAAGCCCGGGGCUCAACCCCGGAACUGCGUUCCGAACUGCUUGACUAGAGGACAGGAGGGGGAUCGGGAACUCUAGGUGGAGCGGUGAAAUGCGUAGAUAUCUAGAGGAACGCCGGUGGCGAAAGCGCGAUCCUGGCCUGUCCCUGACGCUGAGGCGCGAAAGCGUGGGUAGCAAACA
rnacentral:rRNA from 1 species